rnacentral:sRNA from 1 species
AGCAGAAGAAGAAGAAGACGUCUUCAUGGCCGUGCCGU